CAGUCGCCGCGGUAAUACGUAGGUGGCAAGCGUUGCCCGGAAUUAUUGGGCGUAAAGCGCGCGCAGGUGGUUUAAUAAGUCUGAUGUGAAAGCCCCCGGCUCAACCGGGGAGGGUCAUUGGAAACUGGUUGACUUGAGUGCAGAAGAGGAGAGUGGAAUUCCAUGUGUAGCGGUGAAAUGCGUAGAUAUAUGGAGGAACACCAGUGGCGAAGGCGACUCUCUGGUCUGUAACUGACACUGAGGCGCGAAAGCGUGGGGAGCAAACAGGAUUAGAUACCCCCGUAGUCCCUGUCUCUUAUAA
rnacentral:rRNA from 1 species